rnacentral:rRNA from 1 species
GACGAACCGUGCGAACGUUAUUCGGAAUCACUGGGCUUAAAGCGCGUGUAGGCGGGACGGCACGUCUGUCGCUGAAAUCCCCCGGCUCAACCGGGGAACGGGCGCGGAUACGACCAUCCUGGAGGGGCGUAGGGGGACCUGGAACUUCCGGUGGAGCGGUGAAAUGCGUUGAGAUCGGAAGGAACGCCCGUGGCGAAAGCGAGGUCCUGGACGCUUACUGACGCUGAGACGCGAAAGCCAGGGGAGCGAACGGG